UGAGGGAAAGGCGAAAAGAACCCCGGCGAGGGGAGUGAAAAAGAACCUGAAACCGUGUACGUACAAGCAGUGGGAGCCCCACCACCAAAGCAUUCUCUGGUGUUGAAGGCCCUGCAAAGCAGCAUCGCGGUGGCGGAGCGUCGUUUGCGACGCCCAACACACAAAACAAGCGGUGAGUGCUUUGGGGUGGGGUGACUGCGUACCUUUUGUAUAAUGGGUCAGCGACUUAUAUUCUGUAGCAAGGUUAACCGUAUAGGGGAGCCGAAGGGAAACCGAGUCUUAACUGGGCGUUAAGUUGCAGGGUAUAGACCCGAAACCCGGUGAUCUAGCCAUGGGCAGGUUGAAGGUUGGGUAACACUAACUGGAGGACCGAACCGACUAAUGUUGAAAAAUUAGCGGAUGACUUGUGGCUGGGGGUGAAAGGCCAAUCAAACCGGGAGAUAGCUGGUUCUCCCCGAAAGCUAUUUAGGUAGCGCCUCGUGAACUCAUCUUCGGGGGUAGAGCACUGUUUCGGCUAGGGGGCCAUCCCGACUUACCAACCCGAUGCAAACUGCGAAUACCGAAGAAUGUUAUCACGGGAGACACACGGCGGGUGCUAACGUCCGUCGUGAAGAGGGAAACAACCCAGACCGCCAGCUAAGGUCCCAAAGUCAUGGUUAAGUGGGAAACGAUGUGGGAAGGCCCAGACAGCCAGGAUGUUGGCUUAGAAGCAGCCAUCAUUUAAAGAAAGCGUAAUAGCUCACUGGUCGAGUCGGCCUGCGCGGAAGAUGUAACGGGGCUAAACCAUGCACCGAAGCUGCGGCAGCGA
rnacentral:rRNA from 1 species